UGUCAUGAGCCGCCAGAGUCUCCCGCCUGUCCAGAGCCGCCAGAGUCUCCCGUCUGUCCAGAGCCGCCAGAGUCUCCCGCCUGUCAUGAGCCGCCAGAGUCUCCCGCCUGUCAUGAGCCGCCAGAGUCUCCCGCCUGUCAUGAGCCGCCAGAGUCUCCCGCCUGUCAUGAGCCGCCAGAGUCUCCCGCCUGUCAUGAGCCGCCAGAGUCUCCCGACAGUCAUGAGCCGCCAGAGUCUCCCGUCUGUCAUGAGCCGCCAGAGUCUCCCGUCUCUGUCUCUCCCUCACACAGAGAGCAGCAGACGGGGUAUAGAUAGAUAGAGACAGUGGAACUCCCUGUAGUCUGUCUCUCUCUGUCUCUCCCUGUCUCUCUCUGUCUCUCUCUGUCUCUCCCUCACACAGAGAGCAGCAGACGGGGUAUAGAUAGAUAGAUGAGAGAGUGGGAGUCCCUGUAGUCUGUCUCUCUCUGUCUCUGUCUCUCCCUCACUCAGAGAGCAGCAGACAGGAUAUAGAUAGAUAGAUGAGACAGUGGAACUCCCUGUAGUCUGUCUCUCUCUGUCUCUCCCUCACACAGAGAGCAGCAGACAGGGUAUAGAUAGAUAGAUGAGACAGUGGGACUCCCUGUAGUCUGUCUCUCUCUGUCUCUCCCUCACACAGAGAGCAGCAGACAGGGUAUAGAUACAUAGAUGAGACAGUGGGACUCCCUGUAGUCUGUCUCUCUCUGUCUCUCCCUCACACAGAGAGCAGCAGACAGGGUAUAGAUAGAUAGAUGAGACAGUGGAACUCCCUGUAGUCUGUCUGUCUCUGUCUCUCCCUGUCUCUCCCUCACACAGAGACCAGCAGACAGGAUAUAGAUAGAUAGAUGAGACAGUGGAACUCCCUGAUCUGACAUUUUAAUAGUCAUUACGUUUUGGAACAAAGCAAAUGUUUUUCUCAUGUUGACUUUCAUAUGAGACAAAAAUAAUGGUGUUCCCGGAAAAAAGGUCCAGUCGCCACAAAUACAAAUUCCAUCUAGACACCGUUGCCAUGGAGCACACAAGAAACUAUACAUACCUCGGCCUAAACAUCAGCGCCUCAGGUAACUUCCACAGAGAUGUGAACGAUCUGAGAGACAAGGCAAGUGAAGGACAGACACCAUUGUAAAUACAACCCAUAUUUCUGUUUAUUUAUUUUCCCUUUUGUACUUUAACUUGUAAAUACAACCCAUAUUUAUGUUGAUUUAUUUUCCCUUUUGUUCUUUAACUUGUAAAUACAACCCAUAUUUAUGUUGAUUUAUUUUCCCUUUUGUUCUUUAACUUGUAAAUACAACCCAUAUUUAUGUUGAUUUAUUUCCCCUUGUGUACUUUAACUAUAUGCACAUCAUUACAACACUGUAUAUAUAAAAAUAGUAUUACAUUUGAAAUGUCUGUGAGUGUAAUGUUUACUGUUCAUUGGUUAUGUUGACUUGUUAUUGUUUAUUUCACUUUUGUUUAUUAUCUACUUCACUUGCUUUGGCAAUGUUAACAUACGUUUCCCAUGACAAUAAGGCCCUUGGGGGAGGAGAGAGAGAGAUGGGAUGUCACAGAAGAUCAGGGGCCUGUUGCACAAAAGUAGAAUUAAGACAUCCGGGAUAAAUGACUCAGCUGAGCUCAAUGAAGCCAAAACAUGUGCGUCCAGGCUUAAUUGGUUGCACAAAGACCAAGCCAGGAUGAGCAGACACGGAUUCAUUAAGCCAGGUGAAACCAAUCCUGGAUAGGUGCGCGCUCACGGCUCACUCAAAUAGACCCCGCCACAGAUCACAGAUUAACUGAUUUACCAUGGCAACUAGAGCCGCGUACUUUUCCCCGUCGGAAGCACAAAUCCUCAUGGAGGCAUACGAGGAGGUAAAAGAUAUAAUUAAGAAGAAAGGCAACACCGCCACAGUGAUAAAGCAAAGAGAAAAAGCGUGGCAAAGUAUUGCAGACCUCCUGAAUGCGUAAGUAGUGCACAAUUACACACUCACCGCUCCGCUGAAACAUCACAAUUACAAUUCAAAUAUUUAAUUCACAUCUCCAAAAAUGCAGUUGUACUGUAAUUAUGAAACGGUUAAAUUUUUAAUUGAAAUGCACUGCAGAUAUGAGUGAAAUUGUGUAAAGUAACUCCAUCACACUGUAUAAAGCUAUGAUACAUUUUUUGAUAUUUUUACUGAAAACAAGACAAAAAUACCAAGUAAUUUUUUGCAGUGUGACUCCAUUAAAUGUGUGUGUGUGUGUGUGUAGAUUAAACAUGAACGGGCCAAAACGGACAUGGCAGCAGGUCAAAAUCAAAUACAAGAACAUUCUGCAGAAUGCAGUGAAAAAGAAUACCCACAGACAAGGCACGGGUGGUGGGUCACCAAAGGCUGACCUUACCCCAGCAGAGGACAUGGCCUUGGAGCUAAAUAAAGGCAGGCCCGUCUUAGAGGGGAUCCCUGGGGGGAAAGAGACGAGCAUAGGUUCCUCCCAAGAUGCCACCCGCUUCAUUCAAGUGCCUGGCAGCACUGUGUUCCUGUUAGAGCCACCAGCACAAGCACCAGACGAUGCUGAUCCAGUGAGUACUCCAUCAAAGGCAUACUGUAGGCCUGGCAUGUCUUGUCUACUAGCUUCAAUAUGAAUCCGAUUAAAUGUGAUAGGGUGAAGGCCCCAGUGCAGCAGCAACAGCACAUGAUGGAGACGAUGAUGAGGAGGAGACCAUCUCUCUGGAUUCCAGAAGGC